UAAAGCAAUUUAAGAAUCGUCAAGUUAGAAAAUUUCGGUACAUACUUUGUUUUUGUGCAGAAUAAAAUUUUAUAAAACAUAAUGUAUUUUGAAGUUUAUGAAAUACGGAUUGACAAAUUUUAACUAAUUUCCUACCUUUAGAAUUAUUGCCAUAGUAUUCCCUUUGUGCCUUUAGAAACGUUUUCGUCAUAGCAAUACAUAUAACCAUACAUAAGAAAGCAAGCUGAUGAUGCCAUGAUAGUGAAAUAUGAGAGCAAAACAUCGGUAUCCUUACAUAAUUUUCGUGGUUUUGGUAAAGUCUCUUUUCUUAAAAUAUAUUACAACAACAAAAUAUUAAGAAUAAUAAUUGACGUUCUUAUCAUUUAUAUCAUAUUACAACUAUUUAAAAAUUCACAUACAAUAAGUUUUGAAUGAAGUUGAAGCCAAUCAAUUUGAAACUUGGUACAUAUGUUCCUUAUGAUAUGAUCUUUCUAAUUUUACGGUCCACUGAACAUAGAAAACGAUAGUGCUAGUACAAGGGACACAUUCUUGAUAUUUAAAAUUUCAUCCUGAGAUGCUCCGGUGGAGAGAAGUUCACUCUCCACAUGUAUAUGCGCCGAUGUAGCACUGCCACCCGUUUCUAAUUCUAAUAAACAACUCGCAUGAAUGAAUCAAUCCACUCAGAUAUUUAAGAGUAAGUACAUUGGCAUUCUUUUUUAAACGAUUCUAAAACACAACUCGAAGUAUACAAUUAAAUUUCAGUUUUAACUUAGUAUUUGACUUCAUUUUACUUGAAAUACUUUUCUUUUGCAUUUCGUUUUUAGCGAACGUUUUUUUUUAUUAUAUCUCAUUUCAUUUUUGAACUUAACUUUUGAAAUCCUUUUUUUUUUUUCAUUUUAGUUGACUGUUUUAUUUGAAUGAAUUACAUUUUUAAAUAAAUUGUUAAGCUUUAUUCGAUUGAUGUUUCUAUUCUGCCAAAAUCUGAUGUCAGGUAUCUUAAGGAUCGAAUAGGAACGAAGUACUAGCCACUACACGUCACAGGAGGUCGCCGACCCCCUCCUGUUACAAAAUAGAGACGUGACCAGGAUAUCGUGAUCCCUGUUUUGUUUUAAAUCUGUUUUUAGUCCCCUACCG
rnacentral:lncRNA from 1 species